CGAACCACGAUAAGAAGGGGGAUCACCACGUGUCGAUUCACGUUUUAUACGUGAUUUAUAAGUGCGAUGUUUAUUAAGUUCGACUCGAUAAAUAUACUACGAGUUCCGCGAAAAGAAUCUUCCAGUGAAAGCGAGAUCAGCGCUAAGUGUUUGUGAAAUCGUGAAACUGCGAAACCAACCACGUGUGUGACAUCUAUUACCAAGGUGGAUCGUAAAAUCGUAAAACCGUGCCUUUUGUUUCUUGUUCUGGAGAGGAGCGAGGCGACGAUUUCUCGACACGCGAAGCGCGAUUUUCGUAGGAAUCCUCGUUUCAUCGAUCUGCAGGGAGACCCAGUUACGCCUCCUGUUGAAUGCAAUUUAUCGGAUUAAAGGGGAGCUCCACAUGAAAUUGGCAUCAGCCAGGGAAUGUUAACACGGUGUAAGAAGAGGAGAAGGAAGAAGCAGGCAUUCAGGAGAAUUUAUCUCCAACGCGGAACCAACACGUGGUGCUUGUGCUGGUACAUACACUAACCGAGUCGAAGCAACAAAUAGCUGUUGCGAACUCGUUGUAAGCUUCGGAUUUUUUUAAUCGUCGUGGAAAACAUAUUGUUCGAUCGUUCGAAUAAUCGAAUUUGAAAGGAGAACAUACGUAAGCGCAUGCAAGAGACAUUUAG